GAUGAACGCUGGCGGCGUGCCUAACACAUGCAAGUCGAACGGAAGUAAAUUAAGUUUACUUAAUUUACUUUAGUGGCGGACGGGUGAGUAACGCGUGGACAACCUACCUUGUACAGGGGGAUAACAAUGAGAAAUUAUUGCUAAUACCGCAUAAUAUAUAUUUACCGCAUGGUAGAUAUAUCAAAACUGAGGUGGUACAAGAUGGGUCCGCGUCUGAUUAGCUAGUUGGUGGGGUAAAGGCCUACCAAGGCGAUGAUCAGUAGCCGGCCUGAGAGGGUGAACAGCCACAUUGGAACUGAGAAACGGUCCAAACUCCUACGGGAGGCAGCAGUGGGGAAUAUUGCACAAUGGGGGAAGCCCUGAUGCAGCAACGCCGCGUGAAGGAUGAAGAAUUUCGGUUUGUAAACUUCUAUCGAUGGGGAAGAAAAAAAAUGACGGUACCCAAGUAAGAAGCCCCGGCUAACUAUGUGCCAGCCGCCGCAGUAAAAC
rnacentral:rRNA from 1 species